AGGACGAACGCUGGCGGCGUGCUUAACACAUGCAAGUCGAGCGAGGCCCGUUCCUUCGGGAACGGUGCCCUAGCGGCGAACGGGUGAGUAACACGUGGGCAACCUGCCCCUAGCACUGGGAUAACUCCGGGAAACCGGGGCUAAUACCGGAUACGACCUCUGAGGGCAUCCUCCGGAGGUGGAAAGGAUUCUGGCUAGGGAUGGGCCCGCGGCCUAUCAGCUUGUUGGUGGGGUAAUGGCCCACCAAGGCGACGACGGGUAGCCGGCCUGAGAGGGCGACCGGCCACACUGGGACUGAGACACGGCCCAGACUCCUACGGGAGGCAGCAGUGGGGAAUAUUGCACAAUGGGCGAAAGCCUGAUGCAGCGACGCCGCGUGAGGGAUGACGGCCUUCGGGUUGUAAACCUCUUUCAGCAGGGACGAAGCGAAAGUGACGGUACCUGCAGAGAAGCACCGGCCAACUACGCGCCAGCAGCCGC
rnacentral:rRNA from 1 species